CUGACUAAAGGCGGUUUUCCACGAGGCGGAAUUUUUCGACCGAAGCGAAAUUUCUCUUUGUUUCAUGAGCUCUCGAGCAGAACUAAUUGUAAAAAGACAAAGAGAAAUUUCGUUUCGGUCGAAAAAUUCCGCCUCGUGGAAUCCGGCCUUUAAGUUCG
rnacentral:miRNA from 1 species